GCCCCGCCGGCCGAGGGAAAGGUGAGGGACGGUCGCGGGUCCUGCCAGACAAUGCUGAGCGGAGCAUGCCGCAGGUUCACCUGGGCCCUGCUGGGGACACACGCACAGACGUCUGUGGUCGCGCGUAGGUGCUUGCACGCGUCGGGGUCGCGGCCCUCGGCAGACUGAGGGAAAAGGCAGGGGAGCCGCCUUGCGGCUUCGACCCGGCGCUGCUGGACUUCCUGGUGUGCCCACUCUCCAAGAAGCCCCUCAGACAUGAAGCAUCAACAAAUGAAUUGAUAAAUGAAGAGCUAGGAAUAGCCUAUCCAAUCAUUGACGGAAUUCCUAAUAUGAUACCACAGGCAGCUAGGAUGACACAUCAAACUAAGAAGCAAGAAGAAAUGGAACAACACCAGGUUCUAAUUUUUUUAAAAGCACCACAACAACUAAAUUUUCUUAGUACCAUAUACCUUUUAAAGCAGAGUGGAGGGUAAUAAGUGGAGGAGAAGAAUGUUUCUGUCUCUUCCUACGUUGACUGUUCUUAUUCCACUGGUCUCUUUAGCAGGACUAUUCUACUCAGCCUCUGUGGAAGAAAACUUCCCCCAUGGCUGCACUAGCACAGCCAGUCUUUGCUUUUACAGUCUGCUCCUGCCCAUCACCACACCAGUGUAUGUGUUCUUCCAUCUUUGGACUUGGAUGGGUAUUAAACUCUUCUGGCAUAAUUGAUGGAACCUGAGCC